rnacentral:tRNA from 1 species
GGCCCAGUAGUUCAGUUGGUUAGAAUGCCAGCCUGUCACGCUGGAGGUCGAGGGUUCG